GAGUUUGAUUAUGGCUCAGAGUGAACGCUGGCGGCAGGCCUAACACAUGCAAGUCGAACGGUAGCACAGAGGAGCUUGCUCCUUGGGUGACGAGUGGCGGACGGGUGAGGAAUAUAUCGGAAUCUACCCAAUCGUGGGGGAUAACGUAGGGAAACUUACGCUAAUACCGCAUACGAUCUGAGGAUGAAAGCGGCGGACCGCAAGGCGUCGCGCGAUUGGAUGAGCCGAUAUCCGAUUAGCUAGUUGGUAAGGUAAAAGCUUACCAAGGCGACGAUCGGUAGCUGGUCUGAGAGGAUGAUCAGCCACACUGGAACUGAGACACGGUCCAGACUCCUACGGGAGGCAGCAGUGGGGAAUAUUGGACAAUGGGCGCAAGCCUGAUCCAGCCAUGCCGCGUGUGUGAAGAAGGCCUUCGGGUUGUAAAGCACUUUUGUUGGGAAAGAAAAGCGGCCGGUUAAUACCCGGUUGUUCUGACGGUACCCAAAGAAUAAGCACCGGCUAACUUCGUGCCAGCAGCCGCGGUAAUACGAAGGGUGCAAGCGUUACUCGGAAUUACUGGGCGUAAAGCGUGCGUAGGUGGUU
rnacentral:rRNA from 1 species